GUAAAGGUGGCAGAGCCCGGAAUAAUGCAAGAGACCUAAGCCCUCUGGACGGAGGUUCAAUUCCUCCCCUUGACU
rnacentral:tRNA from 1 species